rnacentral:rRNA from 1 species
UACGUAGGGGGCAAGCGUUGUCCGGAUUUAUUGGGCGUAAAGAGCGUGUAGGCGGCUUGGUAGGUCUGCUGUGAAAACUCGGGGCUCAACCCCGAGACGUCGGUGGAAACCACCUGGCUAGAGUCCGGAAGAGGAGAGUGGAAUUCCUGGUGUAGCGGUGAGAUGCGCAGAUAUCAGGAAGAAUAUCCGUGGCGAAGGCGGCUCUCUGGUACGGCACUGACGCUGAGACGCGAAAGCGUGGGGAGCGAACAGG